GAAGGGCCUAAAAAUCCUUUGAAGGGCACAUCGAUGAAGUCCCUGGUGUCUGCUUUUUACGCCCAGUUUGGGGUGGAUGCUGGGGGUUAAGGAUUCCGGGCGCGUCCCAAUGGCAUGGGACAUACGACCCGGUUUCCGUGGAGACCUGGUCUUGUGCGACGACGGACAACUCCUCAUGUUCGAGGCCCGCUCGCGUACGAACCAGGAUAGGAACCUGCAAGGCAGUGCGCAGAGUCGUGUGCUGCGUGCAGUGUAGCCUGCCUUGAGUGAGCAUGAGGGAAAAGAGGAUCAUGCAGUUGGGUGUUUCCGGCCGGAACAGUCACUGAAAUCGCUUCUGGAAACCAUGCUUGCAAAAGAGGCUAAGACUAUAGCACAUAUUGUCGUGGAAAACACCUAGGCUGUCGUAACUGGGCAGACGGGGGAUUGCGGUACGGACUAAGUGGCAAUCGGGUACUCAGAUUGGCAACGUCUGAGCAGAGGAAUCAAACGGAAACGGCCUGCGCGGCAACGGCAGGUUUCCUCCGGGGAAAGCCAACCCGACCUAAGCCGUAAGAUUUAUCCCGUCUGCUGCCGUUUCUUAAA
rnacentral:sRNA from 1 species